rnacentral:rRNA from 1 species
GGUUCUGGCAUCGAUGAAGAACGCAGCGAAAUGCGAUAAGUAAUGUGAAUUGCAGAAUUCAGUGAAUCAUCGAAUCUUUGAACGCACAUUGCGCCCAUUAGUACUCUAGUGGGCAUGCCUGUUCGAGCGUCAUUACGACCCUUAAGCCUAGCUUAGUAUUGGGAACCUACGUGCGGCAGCUACCCUGUAGCUACCCUGUAGCUCCUUAAAGACAACGGCGGAGACGUGGAGUCCUCUGAGCUUAGUAACUUUUCUAGCUUCUGAAGGCGCCGCGGCCCCUGCCGUAAAACCCCCAACUCUUUAGUGGUUGACCUCGGAUCAGGUAGGAAUACCCGCUGAACUUAAGCAUAUCAAUAAGCGGAGGAAAAGAAACCAACAGGGAUUGCCUUAGUAACGGCGAGUGAAGCGGCAACAGCUCAAAUUUGAAAGCUGGCCUUCGGGUCCGCGUUGUAAUUUGUAGAGGAUGCUUUUGGUUAGGUGCCUUACGAGUUCCCUGGAACGGGACGCCUUAGAGGGUGAGAGCCCCGUACGUUUGGUUACCGAGCCUCUGUAAAGCUCCUUCGACGAGUCGAGUAGUUUGGGAAUGCUGCUCUAAAUGGGAGGUAAAUUUCUUCUAAAGCUAAAUACCGGCCAGAGACCGAUAGCGCACAAGUAGAGUGAUCGAAAGAUGAAAAGCACUUUGAAAAGAGGGUUAAAUAGCACGUGAAAUUGUUGAAAGGGAAGCGUUUAUGACCAGACUUUUU